AAGGUUCUUUAAGCUUCAUUCAAAUUUCAGACGCUCCCCACCGCCUCUUCAAUCCGUUAGGAGGAUUCGAUCUUGAUUGUGGGUGUUCUCGGUCACUCAAUCCUAGCCGUCUAUAUUGAUCUCAAGAUCUUUAAAUAGAGUUUCUCGUUAAAGAUUCACCGACUUUAUCUUCUGCUGUCCUGGUGAUGGGACUCCGAAGGUGGGUUUUGUGGGUUUAGGUUUUGCUAAUAUUCAUGAUCAUUCAUGAAGAUGGCUUUUGUGGGUGGUGAUUCUUAUAGAUUUUUCAUUUUCGGAAUUCGAGGCCGAAAUAAGCCGAGGUUCUGAUUGUUGGUCGGUUCAUUUUGGAAGAUCUAGGGUUUCAUAAUUCAUGUUGGGUUUCGCCUUGAUUGUCGUUCAAGACAAUUGGAAUUCUGGUGUUAUCGCUGGUCCGUUCGGAAGGGUUGAUCAUUAUUUUCUUAUGGCGUUUGGUCCCUUGUAUCGUCAUAACGGAGUUUAUCUUCUCGUGAUCGGAUUCUGAAGAUGGGUUUUGUGGGUUUACGUUUUACUAAUUAUUCAUGAUAAUUCAUGUUUGAGAUUGUCAAGGUUCAAUUUUGUCGUUUCAUGGGUUGUGGUUAUUUCCGAUUUUGCUUUUCUAAAUUCGAGACCGAAAAUUAGUCGAGGUUCUGAUUGUUGUUCCUUACAGGCUCUUUUUGGGAGAUCCAGGGUUCAAUAAUUCCUGUUGGGUUUCGCCUUGGUGCCCUUUCGUUUGAUCAACCCAAUCCAAUCGGAGGACUCUAUUGUCGAUCAAGACAAUUGGGAUUCUGGUUGUUCCUGGUUCAUUUGGAAGGGUUAAUCAUUAUUUUCUUAUGGCGGGCUGGUCACUUGUUUGGUCAUAACGGUAUGAUUUUUCCUGUUUUAGUGUUGGGUUUAUAUCUUCUUGCCUUCUCGAGUUACAGAGGGCUUGAUAGGAUGCCUAUUGAUAUUGAUCUACUUGCUUACGAUUGUCAUCGUAUUAGGGCAUUGAGAAUUUAGAUUCCAGAUUUUUCUGCCAGUAUUUUCAUUUUUGCAUGACGUUGCAUCAAUGUAGACCCUACAGUGGCUAAUGUAUGAUAUUGAUGUAAAUGCAAAUGUACUCCCUGUAGUGGAAUUUUUGUAUUGGAUACUUUAUCAGGUGUGAUUGAAAUAUGCAAAUGCAAAUACUUGCUCUACCUGUCUCGAGACAUCCUGGGGAUUGUUAAAUUGUAUUUUUCCUGCACGAAGAAGAUUGUGACCUGAGGAAGGAAGAUUUCUAUAAGAUGUUUUAUGAACUCAAAUUGGGCUGUAAUUGUGUGUAGUCUUCCAUCCAUAUUCUAUUCGAUCUGGUGUUUUUCUGAAAUUGCAAAAAAAAUUUGAAGACUAUGUUAUAUCCAUUCUAUUUUGCUACUAAUGAUGGAAUCUUCAUUGCCCUUUAUGAUUUAAUGAACUCCAAUGGGACUGUGAUAGAUUUGAUGGAAUUUUGAUUACCCUUUCACGUUUUUGUGAAGUUUAAUGGGAGAAUUCUUAUGGGGCUCUAGUUGUGCAGUCUUCGAGCCUUAUAUAUAUAAAAUUAUUUUUGGACUUUCUGCUUUCUACUUUCUAUUUUGCUAGAUAUGAUGGAUUUUUGAUUACAUUUUUCAUGUUUUUGUGAACUUUAUGGGAGAAUUCUUACGGGGCUCUAAAUCUAAAUGUGACGUCUUCGAGCGUUUUCUUUAUAUACAUACAUACAUACAUAUAUAUAUAUAUAUUAUUGUUUUUGGACUUUCUAUUUUGCUAGAUAUGAUGGAUUUUUGAUUACCUUUUCACGUUUUUAUGAACUUAAUGAACGAAUUUUUCGGGGCUCUAAUUGUGCCGUCGUCGAGCCUUAUAUAUAUAUAGAAUUAUUUUUGGACUUCCUAUAUUGCUAGAUAUGAUGGAUUUUUGUUACUUUUUUCACGUUUUUGUGAACUUUGUGGGAGAAUUCUUAUGGGGCUCUAGUUGUGCCGUCUUCGAGCCUUUUAUUUAUAUAUAUUAUUGUUUUUGGACAUUCUGCUUUCUACUUUACUUUCUAUUUUGCAAGAUAUGAUGGAUUUUUUAUUACAUUUUCUCGUCUUUGUGAACUUUAAUGGGAGAACUCUUAUGGGGCUCUAAUUGUGCAGUUUUCAAGCCUUUUAAUAUUUAUAUAUAUUAUUAUUUUUGGACUUUCUACUUUCUAUUACCUUUUUCACGUUUUUGUGAACUUUAAUGGGAGAAUUCUUUUGGGCCUCUAAUUGUGCAGUCUUCAAGCCUUUUAUUUAUAUGAUCCAUUAAGGUUGACUAGUGUACAUACCUCCAUUUAGCCAAAGAACAAGUGACUUCUAAGCUGGGUCUGUUUUUGCUUUAACAAAGCAGUAGAAAGGUGCUCUUUGUUACGAUGGGGAACAUCAUUUGGUCGAUUCCAGAAGUGUUUGAGGAAGAUGAGAUGGAACUAGACAAGAUGGUUGGCAAUAUAAGCAGAAGUUCAUUGAACUUCUAUAAUAAAGACGUGAAUAAAUCACGGUAUGAGGCAAUGUGCAAGUCCCUCAAGGAAAAUAGAAAACUUUGGGAAAACUCAGUAAAUACUUAUGUGUGCUCAAGCUUGGGCAAGAUUCCAUUUUAUGGAUUUGAUUUUGGAUGAGGAAAACCCCAAUGGGUUACUAGUCCAAACAGUGCUACAAACAAAAUUGUCUUGUUGGAUACAAAAUGUGGUGAUGGAAUUGAAACUUGGGUAGCCUUGGAGGAGCAAGAGAUGGCGAGAUUGGAACGCGAGAUUGGAUACAAAAUGUGUCUUUUGUAAUUUGAGCCGCUUGUCAGUUAACUCCUCAAGCAUUGGUAUUUACUCUCUUAAACGUAAUUAUCAGUUGCUCUCUCUACAUUGUUUAAUUGUUUGUAUGAUCUAUUCAGAUUCAGCAAUGAUGAUAUCUUAUUCUUAUGAAAAGUACUUUGUUUCUGAGUUUCAGAAGCUACUUCUUAUAAGUUGCAGUAUUAACCUACUUGGUUACUAAACCUAGUUUACUUGAUUCUGGAGGAAACUAUGCUGCAAUAAGAAAAACUGCUGGCACAAUUGCCAUUUAACUAAUAGCAAGAGAUGGUUGAUCCCUGUCAAAUGGCCUAACUUCACAUAUGCAGAUGGGGCUUUUUGUUAUUGAUGUUUGGAAAUUCUUAUUUCGUAUUUGUAGCUUCAUGUUAUAGGCUGUAAUUUACUUUGGGUAUUCAAUUCCAGCAGGGUUGCUGUGAAGUACUGGUUUGUGGUAUUCUUGGAAGUAGCAUGAGAUAGCAUUAUCUGAGAGGGAGUCUCUACUUACCCCCUUCUUUACUUUUACCCUACUAUUUGGAUGCUUACUUAUGCUUCUAUAUUGUAUUUAGCUGUGUGGCUUUUGAGAAAUCUUACCAUGCUUUUGAUAAUAAGCGUACUUUCUGUGAUGUGUAUUGGUUUAGUUCAUGUACGCAGCUAUUCUAUUGUUUUCUUGAUUUUGAGUUAUAAGCUUUUGCGAUGGCAAAAUAUCAGCCUAUCUGGUUAAGUUUGUGAGAAGUAUUAAUGGGACAGGUCUGUUUAUAGUUUGUGCUUUUCAUGAAAUGCACUAACUUGAGGAAAUAACAUCUAUUUCAAUGGAAUUUGACAUGAUUUUUCCUAGUAAUGAAAGUCUACUCUUAUCAGUAUUUUCCAUUAAUUAUCUUUGUGUGAUGAACACUUAAUUCUUCCAAAUGCUUGUAGGUUUCAUUAGUCUUUGACUUUGUAUGGCAGAGGAAAAGUCCCACUAUAAUCUCUGUCGCUAUAUGUGGUGUUGCAUCAAUACAGUGAACUGUCACACUAGCUUUAUGUGUGAAGUGUAGAUGAACUAUUUUUUGCCUCAUUUUUUGGAACUAAUUAAAAAGGGAUGAGAUGAUGACAAAUUGAUAUGAGCUCAUUUCUUGUUUAUGGUUGAGUUUUCAUAAUUUUCUGACAUCCCAAGUGCAGCAAAGGCCCUGCGUAAAUGUUUUAGAUUCUGUCUAAUGCCCAAAGGGAGUGUGCCUCAGGAUUGUAAUACAUUCUUUCUUGUGUUUCUUUACUGUGGAUUCUGAUAGGUUUCGACGAUGUUAAUUAUUAUGGUCAAUUGAAAAGAAGUAUAUGUUGCAUGAAGAGCUUGCCUCGUACCUCACUAACUUUGGAUGAGAACUGAUGUUUUAAUUAUACUAGCUGGUACCUAAAUUAAAUUAGGUAAUUGAUUUCUGAUUUGAUUACUAUGAACUCUUUGAUAAUGUCAUUUUGAUGGACAGCAUGGGUUACUUACUCAUUUAUAUUUUUAUACAGGUCUUUUUACUGUUUCCUAUGAGCUUCUGUGCCAUGUUUGUCAAUUUUCCUUAUUAUGUGUUAGUUUUUUUCCCCUCGUGAAUCUUGAAUCAAUUGUGCAUAACUGUGUGGGUAAGCUCCUGGAAGUGGAAUGGCAUCACAUUUAUUCGAUAUGUACCGAUGCUUUAUGCUUGAUUAUACAAAACUGAGAGGCAGAGCAUGUUGCUUAAGAUGGCUAUUUGUUCGAUUCAUGUUUUACUAGCUGCGCUGUUGUUUUUUAUUUUCCAAUUGAUCCACUAUUGCAGCUUUUUGUUUGGGAUGCCUUUAGUGCUUCUGUGAUCCUCUAAGAGAAUCCCACUCGAACCCAAUUCAGAGAUCACUCCUUUCUUAUUGCAAAACUUCCCUUUCCAUACAUGAUCCUCAUGGACAACCCAACCAUUCAACACUUUUUGUAUGGUGGACAUUCAUUGAUGGUGUUCUCAUAGAUUCAUGUUUACAUUCCCAAAUGGGGAAAGCUAAGCCGAAGGCACAAAGGUUUUUCCUCGAACAGUUGAUGUUAGCAGAGUUGAAUAUAUUAUAACUACAACUCAAUCGUCAAAAAAUACUAUGGUUUUGAUAAUAUGCUUUUGAUAAUAGCGUACUUUCUGCGAUGUGUAUUGGUUUAGUUCAUGUACGCAGCUGUUCUAUCGCUUUCGUGAUUCAAGGUUAUAAGCUUUUGUGAUGGCAAGAAGUAUUUGGCAGUGAGGCUUUUGAGAAAUCUUACUAUGCUUUUGAUAAUAGCAUACUUUCUGAGAUGUGUAUUGGUUUAGUUCACGUACGCAACUGUUUUAUAGCUUUUGUGAUUUUAGGUUAUAAGCUUUUGUGAUGGCAAGAAGUAGAAAUAAUUGUAGAAAUGCCCUCUUAAUAGAAUUCGAGGCCAGAGUUGAAAUUGGUGUUCCUUCUAGGAGAACUUUUAUAUGGCAUAUAAAACUUUGAAUCCUGGGUUUGGAUUGUGGGCAAGUUCUGUUCAUACUUGUCACCUUCCACUCGUGCCAUUUUUUCCUUAUCUUUCUUGUGUUUCUAUAUGAUAAUGGCCUCUUUUUAACUGUCAUCAUUUGCCGGACAGUAAGAGUUACUCAUUUUUUCUACUGUUUCCUAUGUGCUCCUAGCCAUAUUGUAUAUAACUGUGAGGGUGGUAAGAUUCUGGAAGUGGCAUGCAUGACAUAACAUUUGUUUGACAUGUGCUGACAUUUGAUGCAUGAUCAUGCGGAACUGAGAGGCUGGGCACAUUGCCUAGGAUGGUUGUUUGAUUCAGGUAUUAGUAUUACUAGCUGCUUUGUUGUUCUUUAUUUUCCAAGUGAUCUACUGUUGCAGCUUUUUGUUUGGGAUGCCUUGGUGCUUCUGUGAAUCUCCAAGAAAAUCCCACUCGAACCCAAUUCAGAUAUCACCCCUUUUUUACUCUCGAACUUCUCUUUCCCAACACGAUCCUCGUUGACAGGUUAGCUCUAGCUGGGUUGUAAAGCCAACCAUUCGACACUCUGUGUCAUGGACAUCCAUAGAUGGUGUUCUCAGAGAUUCAUGUUUACAUUCCCAAAUGGGGGAUGGCCACUAUGAAGGCACAAAGGUUUUUCCUCGAACAAUUUAUGUUAACGGAAGUUGAAUAUUUUAUAACUACUACUCAAUAGUGAAAGAAUGCGGAGCUUGGGAGGGUUAUGUGCGAUUGCUUGCAAUCAAAAUUCAAAAUUGAUGCUAAUUGAAUAUCCAAGUUCCAUUUGUACGAAGAUGGGAACAAACUCAUUCCUCAUGGAGAAUGAAAAGAUUACAAUUCAGUGGGUUAGGAGCUUAUUACUUGCAAUGCGGUCAGAUAAAAGGGCAAACGAUGUAUUCUGGAGAAGGAUAUGAUGGUGGAGGGUGCAGAUAAAAACCAACUCGAGGUUGAUGGAUAUAGUUUCAUCUCAUGAAGUUCAAUGGCCACAAAGAAAUUACAUCAGAAUGAGGGUGUGCAAAUUCUUGCCACAUGUUAUGGGCAAGAAAAGGGAAAGAAAAUUGUUCAGCUUGUCAAGUUAAUCUCAGGUUUGGGUUUGGGCAGGUUGUGAGAAUGGAGCUUCAUGAGAUGCUCCUCUAGUCGUUGCAUAAGAUAAGAUGUCCCCAUAGAUCUGUGUCCAUCCACCAACUUGGAAAAACCACAAAAAUAAGUAUACUGGAUAUUUUAGCCUCAGUUCAUAACUUAUGUUCAUUCACCAACUAACCUGUCUUCCUUCAAACCAGACUCUAUAAGGCACAGUAGUGUUUAGUAUCAACUGCUUUGUCAAUCGAUUGACUUGAAUUUUGAACAGAAACCAAUUAGAUGCAAGUCUUAAGCAAUCAUUCUCCAAGUGAUAUGCAAAUGGGUGUUGUCUUGAGAAUAUAUGGCAUAAACUGAUGAAAGUGUUUAUUACUGCUCUCAGGGGACAUGUUUUGUUUGAAAGCAUCAGUAGAGCAUUAACUCCAUUCUCAUUACCUGUAAACCCAGAUUCCGAUGCCAGAUUUUCCAAGUAAGUUUAGUUGCUUGCAUUUUUGGACUCUAAUUGUGGCUAGAGUAGAUGAAGAAGAACCAUGCAAAAUAUAAGUAUGUGCUGAAACAAACUGAGUUGAAUUGUGGAGGAUUUCAAAUGUCAUAGCUGGUCAGGUAACAUAGUUACUUGCAGAUUUUUGUUUUUGAUUCUUGGAAUCAUGGAGAGAUUGGUGGGGGAACAAUGAAAAUGAAUAAAUCAAUAGAGCUCUGAAGAGAAGGGAAAACACUGGUGGGACUUGACAGACCAUUAAAGAGAGAAAUUAUGUCGGUUAUUUCUGGGACCAAGGCUUGUGGCUUAUUGAUUGAAAGUGAUGGUCUUGAUGUUUGGUUUUCAGUUACGAUUCACCCGAUGAAGAGGACAGGGAACAAUUACCCAUGGAGAAAAAGGAGGCAAAUGUCGAUAUCGAGGAACGAAUAUAAUUAUAUGAACAGGACAGACUUUGUUUCUCUAAGCUGAGGUGGAUAGAAAAAUGACUACACCUUCAGUGCAUUUGGCUCAAAUCCUUCUUUGACAUCAACAAUCAACAAUGUCAAGGAAAAUAAAAGUCAAGCAGUACUGCUGUAAAGUUGGAGACAAGAGAGGAGGUUGCGAUCAAGAAGAUCGGCAAUGCAUUUGACAACUGAAUAUAUGCAAAAAAGACCUGAAUAUAUGCAAAAAAGACCUUAUAUGGGAUUAAGCUUCUUCGACACAUGGAUCAUGAAAAUGUAUGUUUCUUGACCUUUCUUCUCUCUUUUAUAUUUCGUGCUUUUUGUGAAAUAUGCUAACAUGAGGAAAUAACAUCUAUUUCCUGGAGCCUUUGCUGGACACUUGACUUGGAAUUUCAAAAUUGAAAAAGAAUGAAAGAACGGUAGAUAAAACUUUGGCAAUGGGAAAAAGUGAGAAUAACUCAAUGGGCAGGUCCGUUUAAAUUUUGUGUUUUUCAUGAAAUUUUCAUGAAAUACACUAACUUGAGGAAACAACUUCUAUUUCCUGGAGCCUUCGCUAUACACUUGGCGUGAAAUUUCAAAUCUGAAAAAGAGUGAAUGAACCCUGUGAGAGGAAUUUAGAAUAAGGAAAAAGUGAGAAACUCUAAAUGAGCAGGUUUGUUUAUAUUUAGUGCUUUUCAGGAAAUAUGCUAAUAUGAGGAAAUAAUAAUAUCUAUUUCCUGGAGCCUUUGCUGAACACUGACUUGGCUUGGAAUUUCAAAACUGAAAAAGAUUUAAUGAACGGUGAGAGUGGACUUUGGUAGGGGGAAAAAGUGAGAAGCACUCAAUGGGUAGGUCCGUUUAAAUUUUGUGCUUUUCAUGAGAUAUAAUCAAUAGGAAACAUUUAUUUCCUGGAGCCUUUGAUGUACUGGAAAAAAAUGAAUGGUAAGAGAGGACUUUGGCAUGUGAAAAAAGCGUAAAGCACUCAAUGGGCAGGUUUGUUUAAAUGUUGUGAUUUUCAUGAAAUACAUUGACCUAAGGAAACAUCUUCUAUUUCGUGGAGCCCUUGUUGUACACUCGGCUAGGAAUUUCAAAACUCAAAAAAAAUGAAUGAACUAUGAUAGGACUUUGGCAUGGGGAAAAAAUGAGAAGCACUCAAUAGCAGGUUCGUUUAUAUUUUGUGCUUUUCAUGAAAUAUGCUAGUCUGUGGAAAUAACAUAUAGUUCAUGGAGCCUUGGCUACUCACUUGACUUGGAAUUUCAAAAAUGAAAAAGACUGAAUGAAUGGUGAGAGAGGAUUUGACAUGGUGAAAAAGUGAGAAGCUCUAAAUGGGCAAGUUUGUUUAUAUGAUAGGACAUUGGCAUGGGGAAAAAAUGAGAAGCACUCAAUAGACAAGUCCGUUUAUAUUUUGUGUUUUUCAUGAAAUAUGCUAGUCUGUGGAAAUAACAUGUAGUUCCUGGAGCCUUGGCUACUCACUUGACUUGGAAUUUCAAAAAUGAAAAAGACUGAAUGAAUGGUGAGAGAGGAUUUGGCAUGGUGAAAUAGUGAGAAGCUUUAAAUGGGCAGGUUUGUUUAUAUUUCGUGCUUUUCGUGAAAUAUGUUAAACAUGUGACAUCUAUUUCCUGGAGCCUUUGAUGUACACUUGGCUUGGAAUUUCAAAACGGAAAAAGAUUUAAUGAACGGUGAGAGAGGACUUUGGCAUGGGGAAAAUGUGAGAAGCACUCAAUGGGCAGAUCCGUUUAAAUUUUGUGCUUUUCAUAAAAUAUACUCAAUAGGAAAUAUCUAUUUCUUGAAGCCUUUGAUGUACUGGAAAAAAAAGAAUGUACGGUAAGGGAGGACUUUGGCGUGUGGAAAAAGUGAGAAGUCAAUGGGCAUGUCCGCUUAAAUUUUGUGCUUUUCAUUAAAGACACUAAUAUGAGGAAACAUCUUCUAUUUUGUGGAGCCUUUGUUGUACUCUUGGCUUGGAAUUUCAAAACUCAUAAAAAUGAAUGAACUAUGAGAGGACUUUGGCAUGGGAAAAAAGUGAGAAGCACUCAAUGGACAUGUCCUUUUAUAUUUUGUGUUUUUUCAUGAAAUAUGCUAGCCUAUGGAAAUAACAACGAGUUCCUGGAGCCUUGGCUUCUCACUUGACUUGGAAUUUCAAAAAUGAAAAAGACUGAAUGAAUGGUACGGGAGGAUUUGGCAUGGUGAAAAAGUGAGAAGCUCUAAAUGGGCUAGUUCGUUUAUGUCAUGCUUUUCAUGAAAUAUGCUCUCUUUUUUUUUUUUGAAAGGCCCACAGGCCACACACACGCUAAGCCAUGCUCGAGGGGCAUGAA